GUGCCAGCCGCCGCGGUAAUACGGAAGGUCCGGGCGUUAUCCGGAUUUAUUGGGUUUAAAGGGAGCGUAGGCCGUCUGUUAAGCGUGUUGUGAAAUGUCGGGGCUCAACCUGGGCAUUGCAGCGCGAACUGGCAGACUUGAGUGCGCAGGAAGUAGGCGGAAUUCGUCGUGUAGCGGUGAAAUGCUUAGAUAUGACGAAGAACUCCGAUUGCGAAGGCAGCCUGCUGUAGCGUAACUGACGCUGAAGCUCGAAAGCGUGGGUAUCGAACAGGAUUAGAAACCCGUGUAGUCC
rnacentral:rRNA from 1 species